rnacentral:rRNA from 1 species
UUCCGGUUGAUCCUGCCGGAGGCGACCGCUAUUGGAAUUCGAUUAAGCCAUGCGAGUCGAGAGUCUUAGGGACUCGGCGUACCGCUCAGUAACACGUGGGUAACCUGCCCUGUGCUGGGGAAUAACCUCGGGAAACUGAGAAUAAUACCCCAUAGUUCACCACGCCUGGAACGGUGGGUGGAUCAAAGCUCCGGCGGCAUAGGAUGGGCCUGCGGCGUAUCAGGUUGUAGGGGGUGUAACGUACCCUCUAGCCAUCAACGCGUACGGGUGUUGGGAGACAUAGCCCGGAGAUGGAUUCUGAGACACGAAUCCAGACCCUACGGGGUGCAGCAGGCGCGAAAACUUGGCAAUGCGAGAAAUCGUGACCAGGGAACUCCAAGUGGCUGGGGUAAGACCCAGUCUUUUCUUGACUCUUCAAAGGUCUUGGAAUAAGAGGUGGGUAAGGACGGUGCCAGCCGCCGCGGUAAUACCGGCGCCUCAAGUGGUAGUCGAUUUUAUUGGGCCUAAAACGUCCGUAGCCUGUUUGGUACAUUCGUGGGUAAAUCAACCAGCUUAACUGAUUGAAUUCUGCGAGCACGGCCAGACUUGGGACCGGGAGAGGUGUGGGGUACGCUCAGGGUAGGGGUAAAAUCCUGUCAUCCUGAGCGGACCACCUGUUGCGAAGGCGCCACACUAGAACGGAUCCGACGGUCAGGGACGAAGCCUAGGGGCACGAACCGGAUUAGAUACCCGGGUAGUCCUAGGUGUAAACGCUGUGGACUUGGUGUUGGGGAUUCUCCGAGGAUUCUCAGUGCCGAAGCGAAGGUGAUAAGUCCACUGCCUGGGGAGUACGGUCGCAAGGCUGAAACUUAAAGGAAUUGGCGGGGGAGCACCGCAACCUGAGGAUUGUGCGGUUUAAUUGGAGUCAACGCCGG